rnacentral:rRNA from 1 species
GACGUAGGGCGCGAGCGUUGUCCGGAUUUAUUGGGCGUAAAGAGCUCGUAGGCGGCUUGUCGCGUCGACUGUGAAAUCCCGCGGCUCAACUGCGGGUCUGCAGUCGAUACGGGCAGGCUAGAGUUCGGUAGGGGAGACUGGAAUUCUCGGUGUAGCGGUGAAAUGCGUAGAUAUCGAGAGGAACACCUGCGGCGAAGGCGGGUUGCUGGGCCGACACUGACGCUGAUGCGCGAAAGCCAGGGGAGCGAACGGG